rnacentral:rRNA from 1 species
AGUGAACGCUGGCGGUAGGCCUAACACAUGCAAGUCGAACGGCAGCACAGUAAGAGCUUGCUCUUACGGGUGGCGAGUGGCGGACGGGUGAGGAAUACAUCGGAAUCUACUUUUUCGUGGGGGAUAACGUAGGGAAACUUACGCUAAUACCGCAUACGACCUACGGGUGAAAGCAGGGGAUCUUCGGACCUUGCGCGAUUGAAUGAGCCGAUGUCGGAUUAGCUAGUUGGCGGGGUAAAGGCCCACCAAGGCGACGAUCCGUAGCUGGUCUGAGAGGAUGAUCAGCCAAACUGGAACUGAGAAACGGUCCAGACUCCUACGGGAGGCAGCAGGGGGGAAUAUUGAACAAUGGGCGAAAGCCUAAUCCAGCCAUACCGCGUGGGUGAAGAAGGCCUUCGGGUUGUAAGCCCUUUUGUUGGGAAAGAAAAGCAGCAGGUUAAUACCCCGCUGUUCUGACGGUACCCAAAGAAUAAGCACCGGCUAACCUCGUG